UACUGAAUUAUCAAAAUCGGGAUUUAUUAGUUUGGAAUAAUAAUUACAAGGGAUAAAUCAGAUAUUUUGGCCAACCCCGAGACGCAGAUGUAUAACAAACACACAUACCAACACCCACGCAAAGCUCCGGACGAAACAAAACGACACAGCGCGCUUCAUCAGUUUACUCGCAGUCUUUAGCAAAGCAACGUCUCAGACAAUUGAAAAUUGAAUUUAAGAAAAAACACAAAUUAUUACCAAAGUGUCUUGUGCGGUAUAAACAGUUUUCUUUGAAAAAUAAGGCAGUACUACAUUCUAUAAAAAAAACUAAGACUUAUAACAAUGUCUGAAACUAAGACUUUGGAAGCUGGUCAACAGCUUGUUAAGAAAACAAUGGAUGAAUUAAUUCAACAAAAACAAACGACCGAAAAAGUUACAAUUCAAGCUAGACAGGAGUUUCGUGAACAUUACCAAGAGAGUUAUGAAGAAGAAUUUGAGGAAGAAACUUUUAUUGAUGAAUUUGGAAAUGAAACUACGAAACGAGUAGAAUCUAGCAGCGAAAGCAAGGAACACACUAGGAGUGCUGAUGUAAAAGUGAAAGCAACUGGAUUAAAUGCUGAACAAGUAAAAGCUCUAACAGAUUGUGCAAAUGAAGCCGGACAGUUAGCGCUCGACUCUAAGCCUGCCAACUAAACAAUGUAAUCAUCAUCAUUAAUUAAAAGUCUAAAAUGUCUACAAGGUUUAAUGAUACAUUAAAAGAUAAAAUGUGUUCUAUGAUUGUGCGUGAGGUGUUCUGAAAAAGUGAUAAAGACUGUUGCCAGUGAUCCUUAAAAUAUAUAUAAAGUUUAGAAUUUUAAAAAUGUAAUAUACGCGAUAUGAAUAAUAAAUAUAUAAUUAAAUGAAAAAUGGCUUGUUAAAGAGUGUUUUUCGAUAUUCUAAAGUAGGUGUUAGUCUAAUUAAUAGAAUUUAUUAUUUUUUAAAAUGGAGGAGGAAGAUGAGGAAA